AUGAACGCUAGCUACAGGCUUAACACAUGCAAGUCGAGGGGCAGCAUGAACUUAGCUUGCUAAGUUUGAUGGCGACCGGCGCACGGGUGAGUAACACGUAUCCAACCUGCCGAUGACUCGGGGAUAGCCUUUCGAAAGAAAGAUUAAUACCCGAUGGCAUAGUUCUUCCGCAUGGUAGAACUAUUAAAGAAUUUCGGUCAUCGAUGGGGAUGCGUUCCAUUAGGUUGUUGGCGGGGUAACGGCCCACCAAGCCUUCGAUGGAUAGGGGUUCUGAGAGGAAGGUCCCCCACAUUGGAACUGAGACACGGUCCAAACUCCUACGGGAGGCAGCAGUGAGGAAUAUUGGUCAAUGGACGAGAGUCUGAACCAGCCAAGUAGCGUGAAGGAUGACUGCCCUAUGGGUUGUAAACUUCUUUUAUACGGGAAUAAAGUGGGGCACGUGUGCCUUUUUGUAUGUACCGUAUGAAUAAGGAUCGGCUAACUCCGUGCCAGCAGCCGCGGUAAUACGGAGGAUCCGAGCGUUAUCCGGAUUUAUUGGGUUUAAAGGGAGCGUAGGCGGACGCUUAAGUCAGUUGUGAAAGUUUGCGGCUCAACCGUAAAAUUGCAGUUGAUACUGGGUGUCUUGAGUACAGUAGAGGCAGGCGGAAUUCGUGGUGUAGCGGUGAAAUGCUUAGAUAUCACGAAGAACUCCGAUUGCGAAGGCAGCCUGCUGGACUGUAACUGACGCUGAUGCUCGAAAGUGUGGGUAUCAAACAGGAUUAGAUACCCUGGUAGUCCACACAGUAAACGAUGAAUACUCGCUGUUUGCGAUAUACAGUAAGCGGCCAGGCGAAAGCGUUAAAUAUUAGACCUGGGGAGUACGCCGGCAACGGUGAAACUCAAAGGAAUUGACGGGGGCCCGCACAAGCGGAGGAACAUGUGGUUUAAUUCGAUGAUACGCGAGGAACCUUACCCGGGCUUGAAUUGCAACUGAAUGAUGUGGAGACAUGUCAGCCGCAAGGCAGUUGUGAAGGUGCUGCAUGGUUGUCGUCAGCUCGUGCCGUGAGGUGUCGGCUUAAGUGCCAUAACGAGCGCAACCCUUAUCGAUAGUUACCAUCAGGUGAUGCUGGGGACUCUGUCGAGACUGCCAGGGAUAACCUGGAGGAAGGUGGGGAUGACGUCAAAUCAGCACGGCCCUUACGUCCGGGGCUACACACGUGUUACAAUGGGGGGUACAGAAGGCAGCUACACGGCGACGUGAUGCUAAUCCCUAAAGCCUCUCUCAGUUCGGAUUGGAGUCUGCAACCCGACUCCAUGAAGCUGGAUUCGCUAGUAAUCGCGCAUCAGCCACGGCGCGGUGAAUACGUUCCCGGGCCUUGUACACACCGCCCGUCAAGCCAUGAAAGCCGGGGGUACCUGAAGUGCGUAACCGCAAGGAGCGCCCUAGGGUAAAACUGGUGAUUGGGGCU
rnacentral:rRNA from 1 species